rnacentral:rRNA from 1 species
GAUGAACGCUAGCUACAGGCUUAACACAUGCAAGUCGAGGGGAAACGACAUCGAAAGCUUGCUUUUGAUGGGCGUCGACCGGCGCACGGGUGAGUAACGCGUAUCCAACCUGCCCAUCACUUGGGAAUAACCUUGCGAAAGUAAGACUAAUACCCAAUGAUAUCCCACGAAGGCAUCGGAAUGGGAUUAAAGAUUUAUCGGUGAUGGAUGGGGAUGCGUCUGAUUAGCUUGUUGGCGGGGUAGCGGCCCACCAAGGCAACGAUCAGUAGGGGUUCUGAGAGGAAGGUCCCCCACAUUGGAACUGAGACACGGUCCAAACUCCUACGGGAGGCAGCAGUGAGGAAUAUUGGUCAAUGGGCGAGAGCCUGAACCAGCCAAGUAGCGUGCAGGAAGACGGCCCUAUGGGUUGUAAACUGCUUUUAUAAGGGAAUAAAGUGGGUCACGUGUGACUUUUUGCAUGUACCUUAUGAAUAAGGACCGGCUAAUUCCGUG